rnacentral:rRNA from 1 species
UACGUAGGGCGCAAGCGUUGUCCGGAAUUAUUGGGCGUAAAGAGCUCGUAGGCGGCUUGUUGCGUCAGCUGUGAAAACCCGCAGCUCAACUGUGGGCUUGCAGCUGAUACGGGCAGGCUUGAGUUCGGUAGGGGAGACUGGAAUUCCUGGUGUAGCGGUGAAAUGCGCAGAUAUCAGGAGGAACACCGGUGGCGAAGGCGGUUCUCUGGGCCUUACCUGACGCUGGAGGAGCGGAAAGCAUGGGGAGCAAACACGG